GUGCUUGCCUUGACAGCACAUAUACUAAAAUUGGAAUGAUACAGAGAAGAUUAGCAUGGCUUCUGUGCAAGGAUGACACACAAAUUCAUGAAGUGUUACAUAUUAUU
rnacentral:snRNA from 1 species